rnacentral:siRNA from 1 species
UUUAAUCUCAAUCCGACGGUGUA